UAUUGCCUAUAGAUUAAACAUCCGACGAAAGUCAAGUAAAAUGGAUUCCGACAUUGGAGUGUCACUGAUAAGCAUUAAUGCAAUCUGGAAUCAUCGAUGACCUGACACACUCGCUUGCUGCUGUAGGGUGGUUGUUACCCAUGUCAGUCAAUAUAUAAUUGCUUUGGCUGUGGCUAAGAGUUGCUUUGACUCUUAAUUCUAGCAGUGCUUGUGUUGGCUUGCACACUUAUUCGCUUUAGUGACAACUGUAAUUCUGGGUUUUGAUUUUCAAAUUGCGACUUGCCACACAAACACACACACAAACACUCCCACCCCAUAUAUAUUUAUAUAUAUGUAUGUAUAUAUAUAUAUAUAUAUAUUUAUAUAUAUCAGUAAUAAUAUUAAGUAAUUAAGUAUUACUUAAACUUUCCUCGAAUGAGGCUUUUACAUGCCGAAAUCUACUUGGUGAAAUUAAUGAUUAUUCCAAAUUAAUUAAUUUCACCCUAUAUUAUUACUGAUAACCAUAUUUCAUCCCAGUAAAUGACCACAACAUCUUGUCUUGGCUGCACGCUGGUGGGAGGGGGUUGGUGACACAAACUUUCAUUCACACUUUGAAUUUGGUGAUACUGGUAACGGCUUUAGCUCGCUCUGAUACUGAGUUGAGAUGAUGCCUUCUAGUACCUCGAAAUUUAAUAUACAAUUAUUCAUAAUUGUAGUGUCCUACGCUGAUGAGAAAAGAAGUUGGGUAAGACAUAAUUAUCUAAUUCUUAUGCUUUCCUAAAACUUAAUUUCGAAACGUACGUCCGUAGGUGACUUAAAAUUGUAUGAUAGUUUGCCGUCAUUUCUUUCUCUCUUGCCUGUCUGUGUUUGCCUUUCAAGUGCUGUGGUUUUACUGAGAUCUCCCUUUUAGUAGAAAGAAUAGCUAUAACUCUUUGACUGCUAUUUCUAAAUUCGGUGUGUGGUGAGGCAAAUCGUUGCUAAACCCUUAAUUACUUAAUAUAUAUUUAUAUAUAUGUAUGCAUGUAUUUAUACAUAUGUAUGUAUAAAUAUUUAUAUACAUAUAUAUAUAUGUGGGUAUAUAUAUAUAUAUAUAUAUAUAUAUAUAUAUAUAUAUAUAUACACACACACACAUAGGGUUUGGACAAAAUAAUGGAAACAACAUCAUAAAUUUGAAAUAUCAAUAAAACCGUCUAAACGUUGUUAUUUUAUGUUUUUUUUAUUUAUUAUUAGUGCUGCUUAAUAUGUUUUGCUAAAAUUGCUGUUUCUCUUCAGAUAUCAUCAGAAAUAGGUAAUUGAAAUUCAUUAAAAUGGCAGAUCUAUUUAACUUGCAAAGAGGUCAAAUUGUCGUGCUCAUAUGGGAGGCGCUAGCAUAACGAAAACAGCCGAAAUGUUUGGUGCAUCAAGAAGUAGUUUCGAAAGUAAGAUAACCUUUGAGAAAAAGGGUAAAACCUUCUCAUCAAGGCAAAACUCCAGAAGAAAUCCCAAACUUUCAGAUAGGGACUGUCGGAUCACAAAAAUACAGCUCCCAAAAUCACUGUAGAGCUUAAUGACCACCUCGAGGACCCAGUUUCCACAAAAACUGUACGCCGAGAGCUGCGCAAAGGGGGAUUUCACAGGAGGGUUGCAAUCAGAAGACCACUACUUUGAAAAGCAAACGUUACAAAGACAAAUGUUUAAAGUGGAGUAAAAACCUACAGAAUUGGUCCCUAGAGCAGUGCAAGAAUGUUAUUCUUUCGGAUGAGCCAUCCUUUAUCAUAUAUCCGACAACCGGCCGAGUUUACUUAUGGAGACAACCAAAAGAAGCAUUUGAUCCAGACUGCCUUCUUCCAACUUUGAAACAGAGAGGAGGAUCUGUAAUGAUCUGGGAGGGAUACAUCUUGGAAAUCCGCCGGCCCGAUGAUUUCCCUUCAUAACAGAAUUAAUAUUCAAGACUAAAUAAGCAUAUUAUCUGAUCAAAUUCAUCCUAUGUUUGCAGAACUCUUUCCGGAGUGAAACACAAUCUUUCAGGAUGAUAAUGUACCAAUUCACACAGCUAAAGUUCUUACUGAAUGGCACGAGGAACAUCUUCGUGAAGUUGAACAUCUUGUCUGGCCACCACAGUCAUCAGAUCUCAAUAUUAUUGAACAUUUAUGGUGCAUUUUAGAAAAACAAAUAAGGAGUUGAUAUUCUCCACCAUCAUCAGUACAAGAAAUGGAGACUGUUUUAGCUGAAAAAUGGACAAAGUUCCUUUGGAAACAAUUCAGACUUUGUACGAGUCCAUACCUCGUAGAAUUCAAGCUGUAAUUACUGCCAAAGGCGGUCUUACUCCAUAUUAAAAUAUUAAGAUAAAUUUGUUUGAUCAUUUCGGGUAGUUACGCUUAUAUAUAUAUAUAUAUAUAUAUAUAUAUAUAUAUAUAUAUAUUACUCUUUUUACUCUUUUACUCUUUUACUUGUUUCAGCCAUUUGACUGCGGCCAUGCUGGAGCACCGCCUUUUAGUCGAGCAAAUCGACCCCGGGACUUAUUCUAUGUAAGCCCAGUACUUAUUCUAUCGGUCUCUUUUGCUGAACCGCUAAGUGACGGGGACGUAAACACACCAGCAUCGGUUGUCAAACAAUGCUAGGGGGACAAACACAGACACACAAACAUACACUUUUUUUUUCUUUCCCUUUUUUUCUCCAACGAUCAUUUCGGGCAGUUACGCUUAUAUAUAUAUAUAUAUAUAUAUAUAUAUAUAUAUGAUGGAAAUAUGUUACAAAAAGAAAAAAGAAACUACACGUGGAAAUGUAAGGGGAAAGAAGAAACAAAUAAGCGAAAAUGUACUUUGGAAAUCAAAGAAAGUAACGGCUUUUUAUAAAAAGUAACCAUACAUAUAUAUAAUUAGAUGUACUGAGAUAGGAAUAAGAGUACUAAAAUACAUUAUUGUGAAUUGUUAGAGAGAUUCAAACACUAUAUUAUGUAUGUAUGUGUGUAUGUAUGUAUGUGUGUAUGUAUAUUAAUAGUCUGACAAAAGUUGAUUUUUUAGAUGUUUCCCUAGACCUAAUCUCCCGCUGUUAUGUACUGUAUCGUAAUCCAAGCGAGAAACGCUAACACGUACCAAAACAGUCCUGCCACCCCUGUAGUCUUUUAAGAAUUGAGAGCAUACGUUAGGAAUAGGAUAUCCAAUAUCCCUUUCUUCGAAAUAGGUAUUUCAGAAGCAGCUCCCUAGCUAACAGAUAAGAUAUAUUGUAAACCUUCAAGUAAAACUUUGAAUUAUAAACAUACAAAUUAAAUUAUAAACGUAUAAAUUGAAUUAUAAACCUAAAAAAGACCGAGGAAAAUAAUUCCCUUCUAAAUAUUCUAUAUUGUGUGUAUGUGUGUGUUUAUGUGUGUGCGUGUGUGCGUUUAUGUGUGUGUGUGCGUGUGUGUGUAUUGUGUGUGUUCCUUUAUGGUAAGAAGCUUGCUUCCCAACCAGCUGGUUUCAGGUUCAGUCCCACUGCGCAGCACUUCGGGCAAGUGUCUUUUAUUAUGUAUAAGCCUUAGGAGGCCGACCAGUAUUCUGUGAGUGAAUUUGGAAGACGGAAGCUGAAAGAAGUCUGUGGUAUAUAUAUAUAUAUAUAUAUAUAUAUAUAUAUUUGUUGAAAUAGAAAGAUGAAUUUUCUUGUGACAGAUUAUUCAAAGGUUUAACCGAUACCUGGGUAGCAAAAAUCACAGCGGAAAACAGCGCGGUUGGAGAUAAGACCAUUUGGUGUUGCAACCGUGCGUUGGAGCGGAUAAUUGAAGUUUAAUAUUAUUAGUGAAUGGAAUAAAUGGAGUUGAACGAAGAUUGUACAGAAUACCUUUUAUUACAUUAGAAUGUAAUAAAAGGUAUUCUGUACAAUCUUCGUUCAACUCCAUUUAUUCCAUUCACUAAUAAUAUAUAUAUAUAUAUAUAUGACUAAGUUAAAAAUUGUACGUACUCUGUGACUUAUUAAAACAAAACCGGGUGUUGUACAAUUACAGCAUUUUUCGACGUAAUCUCCUUGCUCUUCGAUGCAUUUCUCCGAGGUUCACAAAAUCGUGUGAUGUAUGAACCAACAUCAACCAGUUCGAUCAAUUGAGCGAAUGCACAUUGAAGUAGCAAAUUAAUAACUGAGCGUUUUUCCUACAAACAUUUGCGCACUUAACGUAAGUCUCAAGUGUGACAAGGUAGUUAUUGGUGCAGUCCAUCUGAUGGGAUUCCCCACAGUUCAGAUCUUUCCAAUAUCACUUGCUAUAUUCUUCAAGCGAAGAAUAUGGCAGAAAGAUUUUUAUCUAAAAUACCACGCAAUCGAAUCGAACCCGAGUGUCGCAUAACGAACUUCGUAACCACUAAUCCAUGCCUUGAUCCCAAUUGAAUACGAAUAAAAUUAGAUGCUGAACCAAAAUACGUGCUGUUUUAGGAGUGCUAUUCUGUAGUCUUGGUAGGAUGCAAAUGAAUGUAUUUGAUUUUAAUGUUUGUAUCAUUAAUAUGCUAUGCACACUGCAAACAAUGUUGAACGUGUAAACUAAAGUAUUUGAUAAUAUCCCUGGUUAUAGAGCGUUUCAAUUGGCUAAAUAUUUAUAUAUCCGUAUUUAGGAGAGAGCUUUGCGUGCUUUGACAGUUCCGAGUUGCAAAAGGUUUACUCAAGCAGAAGUACGACCACCUCCACCAACACCACCACCACCGCAAUCAUCGACAUCGUCGUCGGUGCUGUUGUGGUAGAUAUCAUUGUCAUUGCCAUCAUCAGCAUCAUCAUCAUCGAUAUCAUCAUCGUCAUCAUCACUUUCUUACUAAUGAAAUAAACAUUAUUCAACGAGAAAGAAAGUGAGAGAGAGAGAGAGAGGUAGAGAGAGGAGUAGAGAGAGACCUUCUGGACAGUGUCUCAAGCAGCGAGAAUCAAUAACAAAAUCUCCAAUUUGCAAUUUGCCGUUUUAAAUAAGGGACAAAAGAGACCCUCUAGUCCCUCGUGUAGAAAUAAACGGAAUGGUCAUUGAUGGGAUGCCUUUCUUCAUAUGCCUACCGUGUCAAAGCUGCCAUCGGGUUUAACAACGCCAAUGACAGUGAAAACAAAGACAACAAAAUGAAAUACUCUCAUUAUCAACAACAACAAAAACGAACAUAGUGACAUUGAAACAACGGAGCAGCUAGACAUAGCAGCCACACCACUUUGAAAUCAUAUCCCCCUUUAUUAUAAACGAGAAACACAUUCGAUUUUGUUUUCCUUGACAAAGCGUCUGGAAUAUAAGAAAUAGGAUACGGGAUGUGUCUAGUUAUUGAUAUUUCUGAACCCGGAGUUGAACAAUAACAACAACAACAACAACAAUAACAACAACAACAACAACAACAACAACAACAGCAACAGCAAUACCAUCAACAACGGUGUAGACACCAUUAGAGAUACAAGCCACUAUGGAUUAUGAGAAUGUUCAGAACAUCAGAUGGGGUGUAUUGAGUAGACAUCGAGAAAAGCGACGUUUGCGUGUGUGUAUUUGUGUGUAAAUAUGUAAAAUUGACUUUUAUUUUGUGGAUGAAUAAAUUCAUAUUAGUGCAUUCGAGUAUGUGUGUGUGUGUGUGAUUAAGCGUUGCGUGUGUGCAUGUAUGCGUAUGCAUGCAUGUGUGUGGUGUAUGUGCGCAGGAAUUCAUUCGUCUACUAUGGAUUUUGUAUUCUGAUGGAGGGUAAUUUGUGUGUAUAUGUAUAUGUAUCUGUGUCGAUUUGUGUUUAAAGAUCGGGAUUAUGAGCACGUAUGUAUGAAUUUAUAUAUACUUAUAUGUGUCAAUUACUCCCAUGUUUUUGUUGGUAUGCGUAAUGUAUGAGUGUAUAUGUGUGUGUGUAAGAAGAGAACCUAUUGAUUUAAGGUACGAGCUUGUACAUGAACAUUUUGAUGACUCAUUAGACACAACCGGGUUUGUACAGUAACAUAUUGAAUACUAUGCACAGAUACUGAAGACAAAAAAACACACACAAAUAUACGCAGAGACAAUGAAGCACAUACAAACACUGAAAACCAUCCACAAAUACACACUGAAGGACAUGCAUAUACACACAGGAUAAACGGAACACACGCACUUAACAAAGGCAUGUACAUAAUAUGCGUAUGAGUGCUGUAUGGUAAGUAGCUUACUUACCAACCACAUGGUCCCGGGUCCAGUCCCACUGCGUGGCAACUUGGGCAAGUGUCUUCUGCUAUAGCCUCGGACCGACCAAAGCUUUGUGAGUGGAUUUGGUAGACGGAAACAUCGUAUAUAUGUGUAUAUAUAUAUAUAUAUAUGUGUGUGUGUGUGUCUGUAUGUAUGUGUGUGUGUGUGUGUGUUUGUGUGUUUGUGUUUGUCCCCCAGCAUUGCUUGACAAAUAAUGCUGAUGUGUUUACGUCCCCGUAAGUUAGCGGUUCGGCAAAAGAGACGGAUAGAAUAAGCACAAGGCUUACAAAGAAUAAGUCCCGGGGUCGAUUUGCUCGACUAAAGGCUGUGCUCCAGCAUGGUCACAGCCAAAUGACUGAAACAAGUAAAAGAGUAAAAGAGUAAUACACUAAAACAUACAUGCAAUUAUAUUAAACAUACGCACAUGUACACACUUACAAACACGGGAAUGAAUAUUUUUGAAAACAUUCAAAAUAUCAUUCACGAAAUUUGUGGGAUUUAUUUAAUACCACAAUAUAUAUAUAUAUCUAUACACGGGAAUAAAUGAAACGUACUCUAGCGUACAUGCACAUACAUAGAUACGUACACAAACAUGGAACGGAUAUAUGAGACAGAUAUAUUCACACACAUACACACACACACACACAUUCUGUUACAUCCACUGAGACACACAUGCACAAAAUAACCUCAGCUAUUGCUGUGAAUAUCUAUUAAGAUGACUUGAGAGAAUACCUAAUCAUACGUAAGGUAACAUAUACACAUACAGAUGCAAAAAUGUAGAUUCUCAGUCUUCUUGUUCUCUCUCUCUCUCUCUCUCUCUCUCUCUAUAUAUAUAUAUAUAUAUAUAUAUAUAUAUAUAUAUAUAUUUACUCUUUUGCUCUUUUACUUGUUUCAGUCAUUUGACUGCGCCCAUGCUGGAGCACAGCCUUUAAUCGAGCAACUCGACCCCGGGACUUAUUCUUUUGUAAGCCCAGUACUUAUUCUAUCGGUCUCUUUUGCCGCUAAGUAACGGGGACAUAAACACAUCAGCAUCGGUUGUCAAGCAAUGUUAGGGGACAAACACAGACACACAAACACACACACGCACAUAUAUAUAUAUAUAUAUAUAUAUAUAUAUAUACAUAUAUACGACGGGCUUCUUUUAGUUUCCGUCUACCAAAUCCACUCACAAGGCUUUGGUCGGCCCGAGGCUAUAAUAGAAGACACUUGCCCAAGUUGCCACGCAGUGGGACUGAACCCGGAACCAUGUGGUUGGUAGACGAGCUACUUACGACACAGCCACUCCUGCGCCUAUAUAUAUAUGGUUGUGUUUGUGCAUGUGCGUGUGAGAGAGAUGGAGAAAGAGGGAGCGUAUAUGUUUAGUGUUAAUUAUUGAAAACAGAGGACUGAAUAAUAUUGAGAGAUUAAUAUAUAUUCUAUUCAAGUCGAUUCAGUCACGUGUUACUCUGCGUUUCACCAGCAACUGCGCAUAGUCUUCAGGUAAGAUAUGACUGUCAGAACAUUCCUGAAGAUUCUGUGAUUCCGUACGUGAAACUCAAAGGAGUGAAAUGACUAUUUAUAUAUAUAUAUAAUCUCUUUUGUUUUUAAUUAUUUAAAUUCUUCACCCGAGGAAGGAACUAGCUGCUAAUAAAGACACGAAGCUUCAUCGUUGAAAUGUCGAUAACUAUAACAAUUUCACAUUUCAUACUUGAGAAAAAUCUUGGAUAUUUUUACUGUUCCAGUUACUGAAGGUAUUUGAAAUGUGUGAGGUAGCUGGUUGAUUUCUUUUUCUGAAAAUAAAUCGUAUCCAAAUCGUCAGUGAGACAUUUACUCGCAGAACCAAAUGUAUGCACGUACGUGCAUGUGUAUGUAUGUAUGUAUGUAUGUAUGUAUGUAUGUAUGUAUGUAUGUAUGUAUGUAUGUAUGUAUGUAUGUAUGUAUGUAUGUAUGUAUGUAUGUAUGUAUGUAUGUAUGCUUGCGUUUUACGUGUAUGUAAGAGAGUAACAAUUUAUACAUGACCGAAAUUGGUGCUCUUAAAUAUCUUACAUUGUUACAUCGUAUGCAUACACAAUCCAACAUGCUUAUAUCUGAUUCUACAUACAUACAUACAUACAUAGACGUAAAUACACACACAUACACACACACACACACAUAUAUAUGUAUACCUUGCGAUAUUUCUGCCGAAUUUUUUUCAAAGUUCAAAUGCCAAACAAGCCGAGUUAAACUUCUAUCGUUUCAGGAGUCGAUAAAAUAAGGUAACUCUCAAAACUAGGGGAGAUUAUUUCAACUAAGCCCUUUCCCUUCAUAACUGCUGACCUUGUGCCUAAAUUAGAAACUACUACUACUACUACUACUACUACUACUACUACUACUACUACUACUACUACUACUACUACUACUACUACUGUAUAUAUGUAUAUAUAUAUAUAUUAUAUACAUACAUAUAUAUAUAUAUAUAUGUGUGUGUGUGUGUAUGUAUGUAUGUAUAUAUGUGUGUGUGUAUAUGUAUGUAUCAGAACGAAACAAACAGACGAGCAGACAAUCUAGGAUAGAAAGAGAAGCGACAGAGAGAGUGCAUGUAUGUGACUGUAUGGGAAGUGAAACCAAAGUAUCGUCAGACAUGAACCACAGACCCAUCUUAAAGGCGUUGGUGUGCUUACUGCGUAUCACAAAUCCAUAGUAAACGAGUUCGCGUGCUAUUGCAUGUGUUUUUGGCCUGAAUUUACUUAAUAAAUAAUUCAGACGUUGUUCGCAUGAAAUGCAAACAAUCGUUAAGUUAUUGUUAACCGAUAAAAUAAUAUGACUCAUUGAAUAAUAUCUCUUUUCGUCGCCACAAAAUUACAAUUUAGCUUGCUUUGAAAUUCUGCCGCAUUAAAUAAUUGAAAACUAAAUUGAUGUGAGCGUAUAAGUGAGGCUCUAUGUGGUCAUUCAGCUUACUAGAAACUUUUAAAAUGCAAGUAAUUUCAUGAAUGGAUUGUCUUUUGAAAUUGAUCACCUCAAUCGGAGUUCAAUUAUGAUUAAACGACUGUAACAACUAACUAUAUUUCAUUUCGACAUUGUAAAAAUUGUGAGCUACACAGACGAUGCUUCUUUAAUGAUAUUAACUGCUGCAAGACCCUAACCUUAACCCUAGCCCUAUCUGUUCCCCAAUGUUACAUAGGAUCUGUCUUCUCACAAAUCUUUGGUACACGGAUCUAUAUCUAGCCUGUCUUGCGAAUCACAGUCAGUGGGAACUAUUUGAGUAGUCACAUUUGGAGAUAACAGAAUUUUUUCAAAAUUCGUUGUACAAGCAGUGCUACUGGAGAUCUUUGUUCGAGAAAAUCUCUCCCUUCAUGAAAGCAUUUGAGUUGUACCCGAGCUUUGCUGAUUCGGAGUGUUAUGUCGAACAGCAGUUAAUAUGUGACAACAUUUCCGACUAUCAGAUAAAUCAAUCGAGAAUUUCGAUCCGUCACUUCCUUGGUGAAGGAAAGCUUGUAGGCUUUCUCCCGCGCAUGGCUAUAGCGAAUGAAGUUGUACAGUUUGCGGGGUGGAAAGUCUGACGAGAAAGCUUUUCCUUCACACAGGCUGAGCUUUAGAGUACAUCUUGUGAUUGAAGUCGAAAAUAGAGCCGAUAUGACUAAAUGACUUGUACUGGUUAUGUACAGCUGUAAUUGGUGCAAAGUAUUAGAGGUAGACUAUUACCUAUGAUAUGUGAGGAUAAUCACGAUCUGUGACAGCGAUCUGCCGGAUCGACCUUUGGGAGUCAGUAUUUCUCUUACUGAUUUUUAUGUUAUAAGCUAUUUUCGUUAUAUAUUGUAUCAAUUCAUUUUGUUUUUAUUAUUGUUGUUGAUCUCAUACUCUUUAGAUCCUCGUAAAUCUUUCUUCACCUUUGUACUCUUUUCAGCAUCCUGCUGGAUCAUUAGUUCGUACAAUAUACCUUGUGAUAUUUCUGCCGAAUUUUUCAUUCAGAGUUCAAAUGCCACACAAGUAAAGUUAGUCUUCCAUUAGGGACGAUUAUUUCAACUAUUACGUUCUGUGUUCAAAUUCUGCAGACGUCGACUUUGACUUUCAUCCCCUCGGAGUCUGGCUACCCGCAUGGUUCUUGGUCUCAAGCAUUUGUCUUAUGAAGAAAAGCUGAAGAUGCUUGACCUUUAUUCUCUAGAAAAACGAUGACGCUGUGGUGAUCUCAUUCUUGCUCACAACGUCAUAAGCGGAAAGUGUAACCUCUCGAAAGAGCUGUUCUUCACUCCUGCUCCAGAGCGUCGGCUGCGGUGUCACUCCGAAAAGCUCUAUCUGCGACGAUUUCAUCUCAAUCGAAGUAGAGGGGCUUUCUCCGUCCGUGUGCGGAUCCGUGGAAUUAGCUACCGGACGAGAUAGUAAAGAUGCCGACGACCGCUCGGUUCAAAGUUUCUCUUGACCAGAAAUGGCCUGAACUCUUUGCAUGAACACCCUCCCUGUACAUAACUCCAUGUCCCCCUACAUGGCCUUGCUUUUUGCUUUUUGAGCCAAAAAAUUAACUUAACUUAACUAACCAGAGAAACACUGGUGUCGAUGUAAUCAACUAGUCCCCUCCUCCAAAAUUUCCGGCCUUGUUUCUGUCUAAAGACACAAUAAUGAUCAUCAUAAAGUAAUAAUGAUGGAUCAUUAUUAUUAGCACUAGUAUUAUUCGUAGUAUUUUUGUUAUUAUUAUCAUUAACAUUAUUAUUAUCAUCAUUGCUUUAAAUGUUGUUUUCUCUUGUUACAGCGUUUCCAGAUUAGUAGCACACUAUAUGCGUGUAAUAACAUCCCACGUGUAAUCCGAGUGAAUGAAUGAUUAACGCAGACGACAGAUGCGUAUAAGUGUAAUCGUUAUAUCGAUCAGAAAGCGAGUUGUUCCCUUUCAAUUCGUCUUAACUUUAUAUUUGUUCUUUACUCCUUGUUUUAGUUUUUUCUUCUUUCCGGUUUCACAUCUGCCCUCAUUUCUCUCUACGUUCAUUAUAUACAGUUUUCCAUAAUGUCUGCCUUCUUUUUUUCAUUUUUCUUUAUUUGUGUUAUUUAUCUCGUCUUGUCAUUCAUUCUUAAUCUCCAACUAACUCUUUAACACCUCCCACAUAUCUUCCUUUCAACGGUGCUUCCCACGUGACGACAUCAAAAGCCAGUGCUGCAUUGGGUAUACGUCACAAUUAUUCGAACCUGUAUUUAUUGUAAGGAAACAAAUAUUAAAAGAAAACAAUUGUUAGGUUAUGUCUACGCACAAGUACGCUCACGCGCAAGUACGUACGCAAUCCCUUUUACUCGCUCUCUCUCUCUCUCUUUCAUACACACACACGUACACACACACAAGCAUACAUUAGUCAAGUGACUUCUAUUAUACCCUACGGUUAACCCAUACCUUGCGAGUGGAAUUUGCUAGACGGAAAUCAUACAAUAUGCUAUUACACCAUUCCUGUUUGUUUUCUGCCUGUUUCUCAGUCAAAGUCUGUCUGUCUGUCUGUUUGCCUCUCUCUCUCUCUUUCUCUCUCCCUCUAUAUGUGUCUGUGUGUUUGUGUGUGUGUCUGUGUGUCUGUGUAUCUGUGUGUGUCUGUAAGUGUCUAUGUAAUUAUUUGUAAACGUUCUUCGUGCCCUUUUGUGAAUUACUAUGUGUCUGUAUAUGUUUACAUGUAUGUAUGUAUAUAUGUAUGUAUGUAUGUGUGUAUGUAUAUAUGUAUGUAUUUAUGUAUGUAUGUAUGUAUGUAUGUAUGUAUGUAUGUAUGUAUGCAUACAAAUAUGUGGUCGCUCACCGGUCCGAUAUCCGAGUGGAAAUUAAUCCAACAGGUUAUCAGCGUGCAACAUUGUUAUCGAUUUAACAGUAUGGUUUCUAUAAAUACAUUCAUCGCACUCUCUCUCCCCUAUACACAAGCACACACACACACACAAACACUCACACAGUCACAUAUAUAUGCAUACACACGAUCACUUACACAGUCAUACAUAUUCACACACGUAUGCUUAAACAAACACCCCUACAUAAACUUAGAAGUAGAAGAUGGUUAAAAGAAUAUAACGUCAGUUUAUACGUAAGCAUCUUAAUAUCUUGUUCUUUCAAUCAAAGUUACCAAUUCAAAACCUGCUUCUUUAUCGAUACUAUUUUAUUUUCAUUGAAACGUAUAAUACAACCAAUAGGACAGGUUUGAUGCAGUUAUCUCCAUCCUAAUCUGUUACUGAGGUUUGAUUUGAGAGAGAAUCAAUUUUUAUUUUUAGCGUAUUUGAGACCUUUCAUCAUCCACAUCACAUUGAACCAAUCAUCUGGCCUCCGUGUUGUUGGUUAACGCGCUUGUAAUAGCAGGGAAAUGAUGCUCAAAUCAAGAAGCAUUGUCUUAAACAAAGAGCAAGUGUAAUACCAAUUCUUGCAAAGAAAUAUAUGUUGGUCUUAAGUCUGAUAGAAAUAUCCUGAAUUAGAGUUAAAAAAAAGAACAAAGAAAGUGUCGCUGAGUAAUGUUGCUGGGAAAAUUUUGGUAAUUUUUGUUAUCAAAGUUGAUCCGGGUUUUCAGAAAUAACACACACACACAUACAUAUGUAAUAUAUACUAGUUUCAAAAUUUAGCACAAGACCAGCAAUUUUAGGGGAAGGAUUUAAGUACAUUACAACUUUUAUUGACCCAAAAAUUAUGAAAGGUGAAGUCGACCUCAGUGAAAUUUGAACUCAGAAGGUAAAAAUAGAUUAAAUGUGGCUAACAAUUUUGCCCAGCGCGCUCAUGGUUCCGCCGGCUCGCUACCUUUACCUUACUGUAAUAAUGAACAAGAAUUAGAUACUACAUGGUUCAAAUAGUUUCCACUUUUGUAGAGAGAUAUCGUAACUACCUUCCAUAUAUAACGACUAUGCAUAACAAAAUAGAUUUCUUUUGGAAGAACACUUUUCCGACGAAUUAACAAACAUUCAACGAUACGCUACUUGAACGACUUAGUCGUAUCUACCGUUCAACAUCAUCGAACGAAUUGAAUUUGCAGUCUGCUUACUGCUUCAAUGAAGUCCAUUGGGGUAUCUGUUUUGGAAUCGAAGAAGUCAAACAGUACAUGCUAUUUCAUUGAACAGGUAGCUCUAUAUGCUACGCUUCCUUCCGAUACUUACAGUAAAUACGUUACCUGAUCAAUUUUGCUAGAAUACCUGUAAAUCUCAAUAAAUUCAAACUAGUGAGGAAACUUCUAAGUGGCCACUGGAUUUACAAGAAAUAUCAGUCAGAUUUCCUCAAAUCACUCACUGGCUUAUGUGAUCCUCGGUUGCUAAUCUAUCAGCUGUUAAUGGUAGUUAGCUUCAUGCAAGUUUGAAUAAAAUGUCCCAUAGUCUAAGUAUCACAAACUUUGUUGUUUAUCAAAGACUGCACUGUUCACUGCAUUUCCCGUUUACGUUUAAGAAUAUAGGAUUUGAUUUCAAAAGAAGUUGGUUCCUAUUUCUCAUAAGUCGAUAGACACACAAAAUGUCUUUCGGUGUUAACACAAACCCCUGAAAAUUUUGAGACUUAUAAGUCUUACCCGUAUUGGCUUUACUUUCAUUAUUCUAUAAGCCUGCUUGUAGUAGCUUUAAUGCACUGCGUUACAACAGCCAUAUUCCUGGAUUUGCUCUAAUUAUAGAAAAAUAUUUAUUUCGUUACUGCUUCAUUAAUAUUUAUAAAAGUAAUUUUAAUUAAGGUAAAUUGUUAUUUCAAAAUGAUCUCCUAUUAAUGGAUAAUUAUGAAAAGAGAGAGGAAUAAACUGAAAAUAAUAAUUAUAGCAAGAUUCGUUGUGUGUGUGUGUGUGUGUGUGUGCGCGCGCGCACGUGUGUCUGAAUGAUUAAGAAGUUUGCACCACAAGCAUGUGGCCUCACAAAACGUAUAUCAACACGUCGCUAUGGCAACAGGCAUAUGACCAAGAUUCUCCUGCCUUACAUCUUGGAUUUGGGUCAUUUACCACAGUUCUGCUUUUAUCCAAGCCCUGUGAGAAAAAUUGAGUGGGCGGAAAAUGUGCGGAACAGACUGCACUUGUAUAUAAAACAUCCGGCCUUGUCGUACAACCGCUUUCACUGAAUUGGUCUGAAGAUUAUGCUAAUAAUCCACUUGGCUUGAAAGAACUCCAAUAUUACGUACUGUUUCAUUGAACACGUAGUUCUAUUCAUCGAACAACUGCAUACUCACCGUCAAAACUGACGGAGAUCCAUUUACGCAAUUCUAUGACUAUUUAUGCUGUAUUUCUGCUAAUAAUGUCUAGAAUUUCAUGAAUUCACGUCAUCAGUAAAUCGUGUAUUAUUUUCGUUUUGUAAAAAUUAGAACAUUUCAAGGUUGAACCAACGACUUUCGGCAAUAUAACAAAGGGGAACAAUGGGUGAGAUCUUUCAGACAAGACUUUACAAUCAGGGUAUAUUAGCUACAGGAUAUUUUCCAUCUCGCUCUUUACCGUCUGCAGUUGAAAUUUAAUUAUUGAUUUGUGAAGUGUCUUAAAAUAAUAGUCGUGUACAUAUCUAAUCUUUCUCUUGACGUCUUUCGCUUUCUGUACUCUCUCAAUCUAUCUUUCUUGCCCCAUCUCUUUCACUUUCUUUCUCUUUCUCUCUCUUUCUCUCUCUCUCUCUCUCUCUCUCUCGCCUUCUCAUUUAUCUUUCUAGCAACAUAUGAGGACUGAGCCUGCUGUAAGCAUAUAUUGGAAUAAAUUAUCAGUAUAUAAUUAGUGUAUAUACGAUGGAGCACAUAUGUAUAUAUAUAUAUAUAUAUAUAUAUAUAUACAUACAUACAUAUUUAUAUAUAUGUGUGUAUGUAUGUAUGUGUGCGUGUAUAUAUUAAUAUACGUGUGUGUAUGCAUUUAUCUAUACGUAUACAUAUAGACACUCAAGUAUAUAUAUAUAUAUAUAUAUAUAUAUAUACACGCACAUACAUACUACAAUAAAGAAAUAUAGUAUUCAGGAAAAAACAGAAAAAAAUAAUGAAAUUACGUGUAAUUCGUGUGCUUGUACACAUAUGUGUGUAUGUGUGUGUGUGUGUGUGUGUGUGUGUGUGUGUGUGUGUGUGUGUGCGCGUGUGUGUGUGUGCAUAAUGCAUAUACAUAUCAGUUGAUCGAUCCGCAGUGUCAUUAGAGUUUCAGAUAGAAUGCGUUGUGAUAUUUCUUCUGAUUCAAUGCAUUCUCCUGUUUGAAUUUGCCAUUAAUCAUUCAGAGGUCGAUAAAGAAAGUAUUUACCUUGUUGGAACCUCGCCCAACAUUCGUCAUAUCCAGUAUGUUUUUUUUUUCCUUUUCAAGGUUGGGGGAAGUAAUGGGGCGCCUAUGUCUGCAUAUGACUACCUAGGUACCCUAGAAGAAAUAGGAAAACCAAACAUGGUACAGUCCAUUAUAUAUAUGUGUAUGUAUGUAUGUAUGUAUGUAUGUAUGUAUGUAUGUAUGUAUGUAUGUAUGUAUGUAUGUGUAUAGAAAAUUAUUACUUCUAAAUCUCUGAAAGAGAAUCAUUCAGUAACAGUGCUCUAGAGUAAAGAUUAAUUGCCAACAUAAUGUGGCAGUCCUGGUUAGGAUGAUUGUUACUGUCAUUUAGUCCCAGGAAACAUCAUCUCCAGUUGGUUGUACGACACACUAUCUGCGUCCUUGUUCGAAAAAAAAAAGGACGCAGAUAGUGUGUCGGUUAGCUAGCUGGAGACGUCGUUUCCUGGAGUUAAAUAACAGUAACAAUCAUCCUAACCAGGACUGCCACAUUAUGUUGACACAUAAUCUUUACUCUCUGUCUGUCUGUCUGUCUCUCUCUCUGUCUCUCUCUCUCUCUGUCUCUCUGUCUCUCUCUCUCUCUCUCUCUCUCUCUCUCUCUGUAUAUAUAUAUAUAAUUUGUAGCAGAGAAUCGUAUGGUUAUCACAGAAAGCUCCUCUACCGAACGCGGCUAUCUGACCACAUAGACAUUCAUGUUUUACAAACCUCUGUGUUAAUGAUGCGUAUAUUUCUCUACUUGUUUAUCCCCAAAUCUCGUACAGCAUCGUGUAACACAUGUAUCGGGUAGUUCAUCCAAGAUGAAGAAAAGUUCUAGCGUCCCGUGUGGCAGGCUUGAUAAUUGCUGAGAAAUCUCUCGGCGUGAAACCAAUGUUAGGAAUAUUUUGCCACCAAUAUAGUUUUCAGCACCCAUUCUCAGAGUUCGAUGCGCAUGCACAAACACACACACAUUCACACAUGCACACACAUGUAUAUAAUAUAUAUAUUGUAUAUGUGUGUGUGUGUGCGCACUCGCGUAUAUAUGUAUGUUCCUGUAUGUAUAUGUAUGUAGUUUUUCAUUUCUAAAUACAAUCAUGUGUACGUGUGUGUAUGUGUGCUCGUGCGCAACCGUGUGAUGGGAGGGGGGCGUGUUUAUAUGAUAUAUACAUAAUAUAUGUUGAUAUCAAUUUCUUUGUCUUCUAUCUGUUUAUCUAUGUAUGCAUCUCUUUUUCCCUCUGUCUGUCUCUUUCUAUCUCCCAAUCCGUUUCACUCGCUUCCCAUAUAUAUAUAUACGUGUGUGUGUGUGUGUGUGUGUGUGUGUGUGUGUGUGUGUACAGACACACGCUUAAACUUGCAUGACUUUACCUUAUGUAUGUAUAUAUGUAAUCAUAUAGAUUCGAUAUAUUCCUGCAUAAAUAUAUUGAUAUCGGUAUCUGUAUCUGUCCAAUGUGUCUCGGUUUACUAGUACCGGAUCAACGUGUUGAUUAAAACUCGAAAUUCGAGAUAGUGGUAAACAGAUGCGUUACACAGACGGUAGAGAUGAACUUCGAGUCGGUUGAGGUAGGUGAGAAGGAGACGUGUAAUGGUUAAUGGUCAUUGUAAAAUAACACCGGACAUGAAUAGAUUGUUUCGGGAAUAGUUGUCAUAUUGUCUUACUAAAUAAUGCAUAACAAACGCAUAAGGCAUACGAAAGCCUACAUCUGAAAAACAAAAUAUUACUUGAAAAAAAUCAAUUUGUGCAAUUUUGUCUGAAGGAUAUAUCUGGUCAAAUGACUGUGAGGCUCGGCAAAACUUCAAUACAACUUUAAUUUCUUGAGAAAAAAAAAGUGGCAAUCAACAGAUAAGAUCCAUUAAAUCGAUUAAAAUCCCGAAAUAGAAAUCUGUUAGUAUCAUUGGCUAUUUUAGAAAUCUCUAUUAUUGAACUCAAAUUAACAGAAUCAGUAGAUCCUUGAACGCGAUAUUUAGUUUCGCUUUCAUAUGUUCGGGGCAUAUAUCUUAAAUGUUCAAUAUAUUCUUUUCAUCAGUUUGUCUUCAAUAAAAUAAACAACCAGUCAAAUACAUGAGUCAGUUCAGUUGUCGUUUGCUUCUUCCAAAUUUAAGACCUUUUAUCCUAUAUUAAACUGCCUAUAUUGGUAGAAUCAGUGGCGUGUCAAAGAAAAUAGCCUUUGCUAAAUCUUGUUACCUUUUCAGAUUUUAUGAUAUAAAGUAACACUCGAGUAUUGAGAACAAUUCCGCCAACUGAUUUCUCCUUAUAAAUUUUCUGGUGUUGUACGUAUGCAAGGAAUCAAUAUUAUUUGCAUUGGAAUAAUAUGGAUUUGAAACCCAUCACAGGCAUAGCUUUUCUAUAUUCUCGAAUUAGUAGAACACACUCUUACUAUUACAUAUAGUGUGAGAUACGUAUUCAAUUGUAGCUAAUUACAACCUCACAAUAAUAAAGCUGAUGAUGAUGACGAUGAUGAUGAUGAUGAGGAUGAUGAUGAUGAUGAUGAUGAUAUUUCUUUUCCAACAUAGACAGGAGGCCACAAAUACUAAGUCGGGUGAGAGGAGAGAAGACAAUUAAAUCAAGUGCAAUUAAAUCAAGGGACAACUAAUAAACUGAAACCCGAAAUGUUUUGAAUUCUCAUAGUAAAUACAAUUCAUUUACCUUAUUCUACAACGCUUCCACUUGAGCGAAAGAACAUUAUAAUAAAUAAUAAUAUAAUGCAGGUGGGCAGCAGGAUCCCUACAAGAACAGACUGAUAUUAAUUCAACAUUCCAUACUACCGAGUUCAUUAAAAUUAUUUGGAAGCUAAGUACGAAAUUCGAAUUAACCGAGUUAAUAUACUUCAGAAAAGAUUUAUAACUUCAUACCAUUGCGAGAAAUCAAUGAUAUUAUUUUUGUAUGCGCUGUUUGAGACACAUACGUACAUCCAUAGACAAGUACACACAUAUAUUUAGAGAAGGAAAGAAUGUGUUUCGGCAGAACAUAUUUGGUAUAAUCGGUAGCACGAUUACACGAUAAGAGAUUGAUGCGUGCUUUGACUAACUACAGUAAUGGGAUUUUUCUGUCUUAAGCGUUCCUUCAAUAUGUAUUUGUGUAUGUGCGCUCAGACACACACACACACACAUGUAUAUAUAUAUAUAUAUAUAUAUAUAUAUAUAUAUAUAUAAAUAUACUCACACACAUCUUUGCAUGUGUGCAUGCAAGCAUGCAUGGAUAAGCGAAAUCUUAAUUGUUUGUUUAAAUGUAAUAUGUUAGUGUUUUACGUAUGUUUGUGUUAUAUAUGUAUAUAUAUAUAAAUAAAUAUAUAUAUAUAUAUAUAUAUAUAUAUAUAUAUAUAUAUAUAUAUAUAUAUAUAUAUAUAUAUAUGUAUGUAUAUGUAUAUACAUAUACAUAUAAAUUAUCUUUUAAAAUGAAAAUACACGCAUUAAAAACACAAAUGUAUAAUGUAUUCCGUUAUAACUUGGAAAUCUUUGUAAUGGUGUUCUUACUUUUAACGGUAAGAAAUUACAGAUAGAAAUUUCAAAUCACAAAUGUAGAUUGAAAUAAUUAAUACUUCUAAUGUGAAUCUUUACAUAAAAUAGAUGGUUAAGAUCUUCAAUGAAAAUAGUCUACUGCUGACAAGUCCAACAUUUCUAUAACCAUAUCUUACGUUCACUAAAAGCCAUAAUUAACGAAAUAACUUUCAUUUGAAUGAGGAUGUGCGUGUGGUUGCGACUAUUUCCGUGAGUGCCACUAUAUACUUGAGUAUAUUUUCAAAACUAUCAGAAACCUCCCAGGAAAGUAGCAUCUGGAAAGGAAGACAAGCUAGCACAAAUUGAUUUGAUCACGAAGUGUCUAUAAGCAACUGGGAUUUUCAAUAUAUAUAUGUUUGUAUGUUUUUAUUUUUGUGCGCGCUUAAAUGAUUGGGAUUCUAUAAGCGUUUGCGUGUCUUGUGUUGGCUGGAUAUGAAAACUAAAUACUUGUCUCAUGUGGAUAUCCGAGUAAAUAUGUACGAUUUUAUCGUAUGAGAAACGGCUAUGAAUAUGUAUUAUGUCUGUAUGUAUAUAUUAUGUACGUACAUACACACACACACACACACAUGUAUAUACACUCACACACACUCAGACGUGUGUGUGUGGGGGGGUUAAGGGGUUUGUGUGUUAGUAAUUUCUUUCAAUUACUUUGAAACUUUCACUUGUGCAUGUUCCACCGAAAAGCAACUGCGAAGUUUAUCUUCUUUAAUAUGUAAAUAUUUAAACUCCCGUCUCGUAUUACAAACAAAGAGUAACAAAGUGCAAAGAGGUAAAGUACAUUGAGCAUUCCUUUUAUAUAACCAUCAUAAGCGUGAUGCUAAUGAACGAAAUUGGGGCCCAAGAUUGUGAUCGCUUCUGUAUUGACUUCAACAGUUAAUGAAGAUUGACGAAAAUUUGUUCUAAUUUUGUUGUAUUUGAUAUUGUUUAGCCAGGUGUUACAGGCUUAGGAAGACUGGUAGUGAAAGGUUAAAUAGCCAUUAUCAUUUCGUAUUUUAAGCAAGUAUAGUGAAAACAGCAAAUAUAUGAUGCAAUAAGUGUUUCGAAGAUCUGGUUUGAGAAUAGAAAGAGCUAUAUAGAGAGUCUGUAUUGCAAGGGCUAUGUAGAGAGCCCUUCGUUCUUUCAGCGUGUGCUCAAUUGGAUUAAAAAGGCAAUGAAUUUCUGUUAGAAAUCCUGUAUUUUAGUAUUAUUAAUUCUUACGUGCUGCCGCAGAAUUAUCCGUAUAAAUAAGGGAAUUUAUGUGUGUGUGUAUGCGUGUAUGAGUGUGUGUGUAUGCGUUUGUGUGAUUUUUCUUCCUCUUUUUAAUUUAGAAUAAAUUUUAACUGGCCAUGUACUUGGUAGCAAGGUUGUAAUGCAAAGUAUCUUGUUUUAGCCAUCAUCCGUUAAAUCUUCAGAAGAUUUUGCAAAUAUUAUAGUUCAGGAUAUCGUGAUCAUUUUUGACUAAAUAUUAGCCUUCUCUCCUUAUGAUCCAAUAUUUACCCACACUUUGCACCAGACGUGUUUGUUUGUAUCCUGUUAUUCCAACAAUAAUACGUAUGAUACUGAAAAUGUAUUUCGAUAACUGGAUUUUUAAACACCUUCUCAAUAGGCCAUAGUUGAUCUUUUUCUCUCGAUUUUUCCUAACCAUAGGUAUGUAUGCAUAAGGCAGAAGUUACAGAGUGACCCAAGACCGUAAACUUAGGGCAUUGAUGUGCCUAUGCAAGAAACUCGUUUCGAAUAACAACAACAACAAUAAUAAUAAUAAUAAUAAUAAUAUGAAUAAUAAUAUGAAUAAUAAUAUGAAUAUGGAUAAUAAUAAAUUUAAUAAUAAUCAUUACUAUUAUUAUUAUUAUUAUUAUUAUUAUUAUUAUUAUUAUUAUUAUUAUUAUUAUAUAAAUAGAUAUAUAUUCCAAUAUUUUAAGUUUUAUUUUUCCAUUUUCUUGUUUGCAUAUGUGUGUGUGUGUGUGUGUUCAUACAUACACACAUACGUACGUACGUAUGAACACACAUCUAUAAUCAUUAUUAUUGUUAUUAUUCUUCUUAUGAACAUUCUUCUUAUUAUUAUUGUGUUCGUCUCGUCAUUAUCAUCAUCAUCAUCGUAAUCAUCUUUGUAAUAUUAGUAUAUACAUAAUUAUUUCAAAUGUAACUGGCUAUAAAUAAACGACGAAAUACUGUAAUAGAAAGACUUAGCAAUAUCCGCGCUACUUUUUCGUAUAUUGUAUCUUAUAUUCCAUUUCAAUGCAUUCAAUAAAAUUUCAGCAUUAUGUCGAAGUAUUAUUAACAUGCCAGUAUAUAGUUUGAAAGAUGACAAACCAUAUAACAUUCAAUAAAAUUUUGAAUUCGACACUAAAUUUCUUUUUUUUUUUUUCUGUUUUGGCUCUGAAAGAGAUACAAAACAUAAGUUGCAAUGCAUCUGGGUUAAUAGAUGAAAUUAUAUUUCUGGAAGCGUCGACUGGAAAGCCUGAAAUUUAAUGUUUUUCUCUCUCAUAUGGUUUAAUAGAUACUGAAACGUUUAUGUUUUCCCAGGAGCAAAAACAGAAUAUAAAAUAAAGUGAAAUAACCACAAAGAGUUAUUGAAUUCAUGUUUCGAUUCAAAUGUACUUUUCUCGUCUUCAGCUCUUCUUCUAUAAGCUGUCAGUUUCGUUUAUGGAACAAACUGCAAUCGAUCCUCACUCGCGAGUGAAUAUGGCUUGAUAUCAUAUACCACGUAGUCGCUACUUGCUUAGGUACCAAUAUAGUUAUACGGAAACAUAGACAUCGGCACUGUCGUCCUUAAGUUGGUGGAAAAGGCUGAAGGUGACAGCUUGAAGGAGUAAUGUCUACGUCGGCAUCCGGCUAUUAUUUUAAACAGCAACGUCUGAGAGUUGCCAUUCGGUCCACGAACUGAAACCCCGAUGUGACACACAUUAACCAAACACAAAACUACAUUCCUUCUCAAAACACAUACAAAGUAUAUUACAUGAUACUUUUAUUGUGUUUUUUGUUUGUUUUGUUAAUUUUUAUUUUAGUCGAUAAGCGCCGAUUUAGUUUGCGUUUCGUUUAAAAGCAUUUCAACCGUGACAGAACUAUUUCUCUGGCACCAGUAUCUAUAACUACAUCAUCCAAAAUGCUUCCUUCCUUAUUUAUGAUUGUAGUGUAUAAUUCGAUGGAGAUUUAGCAGCUACCCGCUUAAAAGAAGUCAUAUUGUUCAUGCAUUUCUAAAGAACACGAACGGUUUUAGUGAAAUGACUACAGAACUUCAACGGCUUCAGUGAAAUGACGUGAUUUGAUCCAUACAAACGAAAUUGCGUUCAAGACAUGCUUUGUAGACAGAUCAAAACUCCUACUUUUAGGGAUUUCGUCAGCUAGUUAUAUAAGAAAAUUUAUUGCUUUGAAACCUGGACAGACGUACACAUUUACGACUCGCUAUUUGUUGCAAAAACAAAAACAAAAAAACAGAUUUACAUAUAUUGGAUGAAAACCUACGACCUGGAAUCGAAACUAUAUGCUUGUUGUCAUAUACAAUAAAACACUUACAUAUAGUUGAGUUAAAUUAUGCUUUAAUUCUCCACUUCAGUUAUAUGCUCUUUCUCUGGAUAGUUUGCUUUCUAAUCAAGUAGUUUUUUAUACACUUAUAUACGCACACACACACAGAAGCAUACACACAGACACACACACAUACCCCCCCCCCAUAUAUAUAUAUAUAUAUAUAUAUAUAUAUACUGUGUUUACCCAUAGACGCAUCGCAAUUCGUUGAGAAACGUCCACUUGUUUAUUGUUAAGAAUUUCGUACAUCACAUGAUAUACGGAUAUACAUGAGGUUUUCACGUUUAAUUCACCUUUUAUUUGUUACUCUGCGAAUCAUAUUUAUCUUCAACAAAUUCUUUAUACAAAUCUUCUUUCUGCCAUAGAAACAUUUCAUUUUUAUGAGAACUUAUCCUUCUUUAUUUUGUAUUCGGUGAAAUCACAGUUGUUAUCUCAUUGUCCUCUCUUCUCCCUUUAUUUGAACGCUAGUUGCAAUUAACAAUCAACGAAAGAAAAACCGUCAGCGGAUAAGGAUUGAAGGGCCGUGCAGUUCAAUAGUAUGUCUUCCGCAAAUAACACACAGCAAAUGCAAUUUAGUUAAUACAAUAAGUUGAAGCAGAAUAAAAUUGCUGCAACACUACAACAACAGAGCUAACUGCAUAAAAUCAGUCGAUAAAUCCAAUUUUGAAUUGAGAGAGAAAAAAGCAGAAAAUAAUGUAAUAUCUAUGUUUUGGAUUGAGAUUCUAUGUAGAAAUCCAAUUAUUAGCCGAAGAAGAAAGUUUUAAAAACAAGAAGUAGUGGAUUAUCAAUGAGUUAAGUAAGUAAAUCCUUGGCAAAAAUGAUCUGAUAGAAGAGAAAAGAAAUCCUUAUAUUCAUACCAUAAUCCUUACUACUUAAUUUGAAAUAUUCGCCUAUGCGUACGCUAUAACAUGGUACAGUAAAAAUAAUAUACCCAUGGCACAGGAUUUUUCUUUGUGAAGUCAAUGUACAAUAGAUCAUUGACCUCUGAUUAUUAAGUUCAGCUAUCAGAGAUACCCAGCACAAGUAACUGGGGUGGCAGGACAAAACUAUCUGAAGCGAUUACAGAUUUAUGAGCACACUCAAACAUGCUAACUAACCAAAUGUUUAUUGAUUAUAAAUUCGCUGCCUGCUCUUUGCAAAGCAGAGUUGUACCUGCACUUCAUACAUAAUCUUAGUUUGCACCUAAAUAGAUUAAACAGGAAACAGUUAAUAUUUUGGCAUUGGAAUCGUCAUUGGGUUAGCUCUGGAAUAUGCAUCGUUCUCCUUUAUUCCACGAGUUCAAAAUUCAUCCAGUUGGGUGUUUUUCCAACUCUACAAAAUUAAUAAUACUCUUUUGAUUUUUUUUGUUUUUGUUUGUUCGUUUGUUGGCUUGUUUUUUUUCUUUCACGUCCAGUAAAUUCUGUGUUUAUUGUCAUAUUUUAAACUAUAGAUUGUAUUUCUGCCCAAGUUGAAGCCAUGAUUUGGGAGGUGAUAUGUUAACCAUGUCAUAUGACUGUACUCGCUAUAAGAGUUUGUUUGUACAUAUAUAUAUAUAUAUAUAUCACUUUGAUCACUUUGACCGACCAGUCCGACAGGCGUCCAUUUGACACCGCUGGUCACAGCACGCUGUCCACUCCUCUCUGGAUCGCGCCUUUCUCAUCCACGUGAUCCAAUCGUCCUCCUGAAAUCGUAAUUCCACCGUCGUGGAGGUCUUCCGGGUAGUCUUUUCCGCUCACGCGGGUACCAGUCGACAAUUGCGUGCGUCCACCGAUUAUCGGUGAGCCGGGCGACGUGUCCAGCCCAUCUAUACUUGCUGCGUGUAUACUCUGCGAUGACAUCUCUCACGCCGGACUUCUUUCUGAUGAUGUUGCUAUUUAUGUGCUCUCUCAACGAGAUACCAAGCAUUGACCUUUCCAUGGCUCUUUGAGCCGUUACCAGUCUUUGCUGUUCUCCCUUUGUGGUAGCCCAUAUAAAUAUAUAUAUAUAUAUACACACACAAUAUGGGUGGGUGGCUAAUUUGAAACUUUACAACCUAAAGGCAGAAAUAAAUACUUCACUAAAGUGAACAAUGACAGUAAUCGAAUUGAAUUGAAUAAUCAGCAUUGGUAUUACUAGAAAUAAAUGUCAAAACAACUUAAUAACCACAAAAGCACUAUCUUAAUGAGUUGACAAGGGAGAGAAACUCACUACGCUCGCAAAUGAUUUCGCAUUUUGAUACUUAACGCAGCUUAACGUUCAUCAGUGCCCCUCACCGCCCCUAAGGUUAAACUCGUCUCGCCUUCCCAGCUUAUGAUUUCCUUCCCCAAAAUUUCGGGCCUUGUGCCUAAAGUAGAAGAGAUUUUGUUAAAUCAGCCAUAAAUUUAUGUAUAUAUAUAUUAUAAGUAAUUAUUUGGAUUUUGGGUGUAUAUCUAUUAGCAUGCCGAUUAAACCACAUUCACCGUUUGGGCUACCUGAUGUCAUUCACAGUUACACCAAACACCUGAGGUGACGCAGACUGCGCUGAUUAGUGCAACACAGCUUGAUGCAGAGAACGCAAGAGGGACAGCUGCAGGAUUGGUCGAAACGAUGGUUGGGUUUGAUAAAGAUUCGUACCAAAUCCGUUUUCCGUUCCCAUCAUCAAUUAUGUGUGUGAGUGUGUGUUUGUGUGUGCGUUCGUGUGUGUGAUUUUGUGUGUGUGUGUGUGUGUGUGUGUGUGUGUGUAUUGUGUGAAGCUGGUCGAGGGGCAGAGUAGCUAGAGCGUCGAGUACAAUGCAUUGCGAUCCUUAUCCUGACUGCUUGUGCUCUAAAUUCGACCUCCGCUAUGAUCGGUGUUGCUUAUCAAAGGAGAUUGCAAGCACAGUGCUUGUGAAGUUGUAUCUCCCUCGAAUUCUCACAAAGUUGAAUGUCUGGUUGUGUCAGUGUCUCACAACUCUAUGAUGACUAAAUCUAUUAGCGAAUACGUGGUACAAGCAACUGAUUCAUUCUCUAUUGCGAUUGGUGGUCAUAUUUACGCGCACACACACACACACACACACACACACAUACACACACACACAUGCACACAUUGAAGUGUGAUAUUACAUUAGCUAUAUCUACAGCAUCUGUUUGAAGUCUUGAUAAAGGUUAUGAACGUAUUUACACUUUCUGGGACUAAAUUAUUAGAAACAUUGCCAUAUAAACAAAACAUGAUGAAUUAAUAAAUAGUCAAGAAAUAUAUAUCGCAGUAAACAGGCAUAAAAUACAAUAACAGACGAAACGAGCUCGGGGCCCACCCGAAAUCGUGUUAGACCAAUAGGAGAAUGAUGGAGUGUUCAUUGUUGCUUGUUAGUUAACAGAUCUUAGUGAACAGAAAUAUAUUCAAAACUAUUCUUGCGGUGAGCAUACAGUUUCCACCCCCACCCCUUAAGUACUCUUCAUACAGAAACAUUUUAUCUAGUGUGUCUGUUUAUAAGAUGCUAGUAUGUGGCUUGACAGAGAUUUGGCGAAUACCUCUAGCAAGUGAGUUGUGUCUGCCUGGGUGACUCAGUUCGUAGAAGUAACUACUUCGUCUCUACUGACGCAGUUACAAUACAGAUUUGCACAUAUUGUAUUUAUGACGAUAAUGUACUUGUGAAAAGGUUAAACAUCACACCUUUACAUUUUCGCACAUCGCUAAUGUAUAAACACUUUUUUGGCUUAACGAGAGUUGACAAUGGAAUUUAUAUGAUACAGAAAGGAGAAACAGUGACGUUUAAGUAUUGAUCAAUGCUUAAGAACAUAUGAGAAAUGAAGCGAAAUAAGUUUAUCUAGAAAUCAAAGUCAUAAUUUCAAGCAUCAGCUCAAUAGUAUAAGUGAAGCAGCGACGUACAAUCAAUCAUUUUGGUCUCAUGUACUACUGGUACUUAUUCUAGUAGCCUUGGAAAGAUGAAAGAGUUGUUAUAGGCAGGAUAAUAUGAAUGUCUAAAGUAGGCACAAGGUCAGAUAUCUAGGGGAAGGGAACAUUCAUUUAAAGCGACCCUGGUGGGGAACCCGGAAGAGUAAAAGACAUAGUUUCACCUCGACAGGGUUUAACCUCAGGAUGUGAAGAUAUGAAGAGCUGACUUAAGUACUGUACAAUAUUUCACCCAAGAGCUAGAGAGUUUGGCAAUCGAACGCUCUGCAAAAUGGAGUUUUGUAAUUAAUAAUAAUUAGAAUAUUUUUAAAGUUAUGCAGACGAUAAGAAAUUAAGGGUUUAGUGAAUUAUAUCCAUUGCAGUAUUACGGAUAUACUAUUCCUUUAAUCUUUCACAACGCUGACCAAAAUAGAAUAUGGCAUUCAUAGGACUUAAUCGAUCCUCGAAUGUAGUUGGUGUAAAAUUCUCUCGAUCAAGGCGAUAGAAUUGAAUUCUGAAAUUAAAAAGAAGUGAACAAAUAUAACAAGGGAUAUGUUCGAUGUUUUACUGAUACUGACUGAUUAGUUUCACAGCAAACAUAAGCUAUAUACAUCUUGAUGGCACCUAAACCUAAAAUGAAAAUGGAUUUUGGUCGGUUAGAUUUAACGAGUACAAGCAUUCAGUGUGUUAUUUGAAACUACCUACACAUUAUAUUUAAUUAUUUGUUUAUGAAGCGUUUAUUCAGAAGGUAACUAAAUGCUAAAUACUCCAAGCAAAUUUUAUCUGGCAGUCUACAAAUCCUGCGAUUUUGUUAUUGCCAUAAUAAAAGUUUCUUACGUAGCUACAAGGCUAGAAACUUGAGCGACAACCUGAGUCGAUUACAUAAACCAAUAACGUUUCUAAUAUUUUAUUUUAAUGUCCACGGAAGACGAAAUGACCCAAUAAACUGGGAUGAAAUGUGAACUGAGUUGAUAAAUAGUUGCAACGGGAUCUUAUAAAACAUUUAUAUUACACAUAAACAUUUAGAGCGAUCCACAGAUGCAAGCGGAUUUAGACAGGGAAGAGGUAGUUGAUAAAUAGAAGUACUUGAAUGGUACUUUAUUUUACCAACCCCGGGCAAAUAAAAGGCUAGUUUUUCCCCGGAAGAUUUGGAAUGGUAAGAAGCCUGAACAAAUAACGAAAAACGGUUUUUUAUCACUUUUUAAAUUCCCAUAAUAAUUCUUAUUAUAGACAUAAGGAUUACAAUUUUAGAGGAGGGAGCAAGCCAAUUACAUCAAGCCUAAUACUUGACUAGUGCUAUAUUUUAUCGACCCCGAAAUGAUGAACGGCAAAUGGUUCUCUGGGACAUUUCAGCUUCGAACAUAAAAACGGACAAAAUGUCGCUCAGUAUUUUGUGCGGUGUGCUAACGGUCUUGCCAGCUCGUCACGGAAUAAGAAUAAUUAAUGAUAAUUAAAACGGUAUCAAAUUUUGGCACGAGGCCAGCAUUUUCGUGCGGAAAGUUGACCCCAGUGCUUAACUGGUACUUAUUUUAUUGUCUCCUAAAGGAUGAAACGCAGACUUGACCUCGGUGAAAUUUGAACUCAGAUCGUAAAGACGGACGAAAUGCGCUAAGCAUUUUGUCCAGCAUGCUGAUGAUUCGGCCAGCUCGCCGCUUAAUAAUAAUAAUAAUAAUAAUAAUAAUAAUAAUAAUAAUAAUAAUAAUAAUAAUAAUAAUAAUAUAUUUUAAAUGAUGAUGUUGGAGAUUAAUAAGGGUUAGGUUGAAAGCAUAGGCGUCUUAGCUUUUUCUAUAAAUUUCAUCAAUGGGAGAUACAUUCUCUCGUAUAGUGACCAAUGCUAUAUACAUACAAGUACGCAGAUACGUACAUGCGUGUGUGUGUGUGUAAAUGUGUGUGUUUGUGUGUGUGUGUGUGUGUGUGUGUGUAAAAUGCAAUUAUAGUGCUACAUAUACCUAGUGGCAUUCAAAGAGAAGCAAAAGUCAUUCAGUUCUAAAUGUCAGUUCUGUCUACCCGUGCACUUGGCUUUAAAAUACGCGUUUUGCUUUCAACCCUGGAAUAAUCUCAGGAAAACGUUAGUGUGUGUGUAUGUGUGUGUGUGUAUUUUGUGUGUGUGUGUGUGUGUUGUGUGUGUGUGUGCGUGUGCGCGUGUGUGUCCGUGUGCGAGUGUGUGUGUGUCCUUGUAUUAUAUCGUGACUAAACAUAUGCGAAAACCUCUGAGUAAUGAUUAUGUGCAUUACCAGUCUCGAAAUUAAGAUGAUGAUGAUGAUGAUGAUGAUGAUGAUGAUGAUGAUGAUGAUGAUGAUGAUGAUGAUGAUGAUGACGACGACGACGACGACGACGAUGAUGAUGAUGAUGCACAUUAACACGCUAACAUACUUACACAUAUGCACACAAACACACAGACACACAUACAUGUGUGUAAGAUUUCUCUGUCCUGUCUGUGAUUUAAUUUAGGAUAUCGCCCUUUAUGCAUAUCAGCAGAAAUAUCCAUAAACCAAUCUAUAUUCAAUCAUUCGUUUUUUUUAUGAAGAACAAUAGGAUGAGUGGAAUGGAAGCUGAUGAAGCUGAUGGAUAACAGCAUUCGCAUAUAUUAAUAUGCACUAACAUACAUUGUACAUAUAUAUGCACAGAGGUAGACAUACACUCAUAUAUAUAGACACACACACACAUAUUGAAACAUAAACACAGAUACCCAUAUAUAAAUAUAUUUGUGUCGAGUAUGUGUAUGCGUGUGUGUGUGAGCGUACAUGUGCGUGUGUGAUUAAAAGUUGUAGCUUCUUAAAUUGUAACUGAGUUUCAUGUUGACGAAUAGACAACCGGUUAAACUAGGGAAGUAUUACGUGUAUAUUUAAGCAAUAAUAUUCACAAACACAUCGAAUUGUUAGUGAUCGCGAUUUGAUUGGUUUACCGAAAAAUCCCAAGAAAAUAUACCACAUAUUCCGUUAAUCUCAAAUAAAAUUACUUCAUAUUGCCAUGUCUUCAUCAGCAUAUAAUCUAUUUUAUUCACAACACAACCAGAAUUUAUUUCACUUCAUUUGUAUUAAAUAUUUAUCAUACACAAUCGCUAAUGACGGCUAUUGUUCGUGAAGCUUUAUUGCUUAUGGAUUUAAGAACGUUUGCUUGUUUUUUCCCGAGGUGUAUGUUGUUCUUGCGAAUAACGAAUCUAUUAUAGAGCAUUACAUAGAUAGAUAGUAGUUGGAAAGUCCUCACUAAUUAUCUAUGGUAACGCAUAUUAGAUUUGAACAAUUUUGCCGUUUAUUCAAGAAAUCGUUAUUUCGAAGUAAAUUAUGGUCAGGUUAAGGUCCUAGUAAAUGCUCCACUUAUUCAGACCUUAUGAGAAAUUACAGUAUAUUAAUAUGUUUCCUAGUAUUCCUCAGUAAUCUAAAAAGGGCUUUUAAUAAAAAUGGCAAGCACAUAUCGAUUAUAUAUCUAUGUCUGUCUUUGUUACAUUAAAACAUGAGAGGACUAAUUUUAAAGUUGGAAUACUGUAAAAAACAAAAAAAGCAGAACAAUAGUAUCAAUAAAUUCAAAACCGAGAAAAGAAGCCUAAAUGUUCGUCCCACUGUUACCUGUAUCUACAUCCCUGAAACCUAUGAUAAAUAUAUUCCCAGUAAACUAUACAUAUCAUCGUAUCAGAAACCCUUUAACGGAAAUAACGUUAAAGUGAACUACAGCUGUAUCUAGAACUUCGCUGCUUCCAUGGGAAGAAAGUAGGAGAAUCUUACUACUACGAAUUCGCAAAACAGUUCUCUGUAUAAUUGCUACAAACGUAAUAGCUAAACAUUUAUCACUAUGAUUUAAUGCUUUGCUAUGUUUGAGCCAAGUUAACAGCGCUAAAACAGCGUAAAAAUAACUUAUGUAGGUCUUUUUCAAAAGCACUCAAAAUUAUUUCUCAUAAUAUAUAAAUAUAUUCAGAGUGUGAGAAAGUUACUGCAUUUCCCCACACUCCGGAUUUAUUUAUAGACUAAAGGAUAACAUCAAAAAUAUGUAUAAUCGAUUUGUCCAUUACAUCCUCUACAUGAAU
rnacentral:lncRNA from 1 species